rnacentral:lncRNA from 1 species
UAGUUUGCUGGUGAUUUUUCCUGGAAUUUUUGAAUGCAUUUUCUAUUUGUUUGAAAAUUUUCCCUCUGUUUGACCAAUUGUUGACAUUUUGUGAGUCAUGAUAUCAUAUGUGUUGUGAAAUUCUUAUGCAUUAUUGGAUGGACUUGAAAUUUGGCAUGUGUAUUAUAGACAUCUUGAAGGUUGCCAUCACUUUGAUUGCUUUCAUUUAUCAUGUUUG